rnacentral:rRNA from 1 species
UCUUGGUCAUUUAGAGGAAGUAAAAGUCGUAACAAGGUUUCCGUAGGUGAACCUGCGGAAGGAUCAUUAUUGUAUAACAGGGGGUGUAAGGGCUGUUGCUGACCUUUAAAGGGUUGUGCACGCCUGAGCACUCUUUAAACAUCCAUCUUACUCCAUUGUGCAUCACUGCGUGGGCCCCUUUUACAAAGAGGGCUUGCGUUUUUUUAACAUAAAAUUUGAUAUUGUAUAGAAUAUUAUAUUUUGCUAUUAUAUGCAAUUAAUAUAACUUUCAACAACGGAUCUCUUGGCUCUCGCAUCGAUGAAGAACGCAGCGAAAUGCGAUACGUAAUGUGAAUUGCAGAAUUCAGUGAAUCAUCGAAUCUUUGAACGCAACUUGCGCCCCUUGGCAUUCCGAGGGGCACACCUGUUUGAGUGUCGUGAAAUUCUCAAAAACCUUUUUGUUUGAUUGUUUCUGGUCAGGAAAAAGGCUUUUUGGACUUGGAGGUUUAAUGCUUGUUUUUCUGUUGGAAGCAAGCUCCUCUGAAAUAAAUUAGUAGGGUCUGCUUUGCUGAUUCUUAAUGUAAUAAGAUGCUUCUACAUUUUGAAUUUUGCAUUGUCUCUUGGAUGCCUGCUUCUAACUGUCUUAUAGACAAUAAUGGUGCUUCUGGUUAUUGCUAUUUAGAUUAGCAGACAGCUAGGAUCCAUAUAAAAUAAAAAUCUUGACCUCAAAUCAGGUGAGACUACCUGCUGAACUUAAGCAUAUCAAUAAGCGGAGGA